rnacentral:rRNA from 1 species
UACGUAGGCAGCAAGCGUUGUUCGGAGUUACUGGGCGUAAAGGGGGUGUAGGCGGUGUUCUAAGUUCGGUGUGAAAUCUCCCGGCUCAACUGGGAGGGCGCGCCGAAUACUGGAGUGCUCGAGACCGGGAGAGGAAAGCGGAAUUCCUGGUGUAGCGGUGAAAUGCGUAGAUAUCUGGAGAAACACCGGUGGUGAAGACGGCUUUCUGGACCGCGGCUGACGCUGAGACACGAAAGCGUGGGGAGCAAACAGG